rnacentral:rRNA from 1 species
GGGGGAAUAUUGGACAAUGGGCGAAAGCCUGAUCCAGCAAUGCCGCGUGUGUGAAGAAGGCCUGCGGGUUGUAAAGCACCUUCAGUAGGGAAGAAAAGCUCGGGGCUAAUACCCCCGGGUCUUGACGUUACCUAAAGAAGAAGCACCGGCUAACUCCGUGCCAGCAGCCGCGGUAAUACGGAGGGUGCGAGCGUUAAUCGGAAUUACUGGGCGUAAAGCGCACGUAGGCGGUCGGAUAAGUCGGAUGUGA